rnacentral:tRNA from 1 species
GCCUCGGUGGCUCAGUGGUAAAGCGUCUCACUCGUAAUGAGAAGACCGGGCGUUCGAUUCGCCCUCGAGGCA